CACGUGAGCAAAGUGCGUGGAUCUCACACCUUAAUUUUUUUUUUUUUUUUAUCGGAUGGGCUUUGAUAUGUGAUCUGUGUACAAUUUUCAAAGGGCUUUAUUUAUUUAUUUUUUCCUUUUGUGGCUUCGUGUAUGGCCGGUUAUUGUUAGGGUUUCAUUUUUUUCUUCCCGAUCUUUUGUCGCUCCAGGCGAUACCAUUUCCUCACUCGAUCUCUUUGAACCCAAGUUCGCAGCCGACAGAACGCUUCCUCUUCCUGUAACGCCUUCUCGAACCUCCUAUAUAUAGAGGUCGUCUAUGGCAGGUUUGAGAACAAUCCAGACCAAGGAGACAUGGAAUCCCUAAUCGAAGACGAGGAAUACAUCGCGUCCUGUUCCACUGCAAUCGCGUACGGCGCAUCAUCUCCACCGUCCAUCUCCGCCUACGAUGUUUGGAUCAAAAUUCCAGGAAAUGAAACGCCGAGGAGCGUCGAGAGAAGUUCUUGCACUGGAUGGGAGUCAAUGUAGAGGAGGAACCACCUAAAUCAGACAAUGUGGAUUGUUUCUCAACCUCUGUCAGUGAAGCAGCAACCACAACGGUUUUGAGGAGUUUGAAAUCUGAAGACGAGUUUAGCUCUUGUCGUUGUGAAGGAAGUAGAUGUUGAGGAGUUAAGUAACGGAAUGGGUUUUGAUGAUAUUGAUGAUAUUAGCUCUAGCCUUUGUUCUGGACACCUUCAACGGGUUCUACAGAUAAGAUUGUGAAGGUGAACGGUGGAGAGAUUGAACCUAAGUCGCUAAACCUGAUGAUCUCAGCUUCAGAACAGCGUGGUGCUGGAGGAAUUAUGAAGAAGGUUAAGGAGAAAUGGUUGAGCCGGCUGCAUAGAGCGCGUCUUCUAGCUUCCGUCGGUUCUCAUGGCUUAUUCUAUCCUCUUCUAGCUUCCGCACACUCUGUUCAAGCCAUCUCAAGUUUCCAACUAGCUCUCUCAAAAAAAAAAAAGGAGUUCAAGGUCUAAGCUCUCAGCAGAUACGGAGGUGCCAAGAGAGAAAAAAAGACUCUAAAGAUGCCACCUUCAACGGAGGAGACUUUCUUCAAAGGCAGCUUUUGUCUCAGACAAACACCAAGAAAAAUGGGGUUGAGGAAAUUUCAGUCACGUGGCUGUCUUAGAAAUGACGGAACUUGCCGUUGGUUAAGACUAGAGCACAAACCACUGUCGAGUACUACAAGGAUAACAUUGUCACGGCUCCAGUCCGUGUCCACACUAUCAUGUUCUCAUCUCAGCAAAACCGCAUGUGACCUCAAGAGCACAUCAUCUCACGUAAUCUGUUUAUCAAUGGUAUGUAUCUGUCAUUUUCUCAGCGACAGAGCAAGUGAUGGUUUGGUAGAUUGAGAAGAAUUUUAUGAUGUGUGAUGGCGGCUGCUUUAGACCAUAGGAUUGAACACGUGAAGCAAUGAUACAUAGGGUUGUCUUGGAUUUGAUUAGACGGCUGAUACCUUCUGGUGUACUUGAGUGCACACAACAUGUUCGAUAAAAUGGUAAAGCGAAAGUUACAGUGGUUAGGUUGCCAAUGGAUAAGAAUCUGGUUUGUUAAGAGAUGGGUACAGAAAAACCAGGAAUUCAGUGAGAUGUAAUGGUCAAAAUAUACCUCUGAGGGACUAUACAAGCUCUCCAUGUACAAAUGAUACCUCUGAGGGAGCAAUGAUAGAUCUCCAAGUAUAGAUCAAAUUUCUUAUUUGGUUUUAAAGUCUACUGUUUUUAUCUCCACAUCAAAUGAGAAAGCUGUCUACAACUGAGUGAGUUAUGCUAUAGCUCUCCAAGUACAGGCUAUAAGUUUUUGCGUCUUUGAAGAAAAGCUGCACUCUUAUCUCUUAAUGCAAGGUGGAAGCCUGUCUACAUCUCCAUGUGAAGCUACUUAUGGAUGGUCUCUUACGGCAAAUACGGUUCUAAGCAGCUUGUCGGUUCAAACUUCGCAUCUAUGUUUACACCCGAUGCUGGAGCACAAGCCCAAACCAUGGAAGUUAAGCCCAAAGCCCAUGUAGUCUAGGGUUUCUAGCAAAAUAGACUUGAUAUAAAUGGAUGUUUAAAAUCAUUGUAAUGGACAGCUUUUUGGAGUUGCCCUUAAGCAGCUCUCUCUUCUCUAUAUUUUAUGAAAGUCAUUACAAUCUUGUGUUUUUGGUGACAA